GCCAGCAUGGUAUAGUGGUUUGACUGUUGGACUAGGACUCCAAGAAACCAGGGUUCAAAACACUGCUCAGCCA